rnacentral:lncRNA from 1 species
UUUUUUUUUAAAGAAAGAAGAAAAGGUCAAGGAACUUUCAAUGUAAAAUUUGUUCUUGUACUUAAAGCUAUUAGGUUUUUAUUUAAGGACUCACAAGAAGCUGACAAAAUAGAAAACAUUUACUUCCUUAUUAUUGCAGCUGACCUUUAAAAACAUGUUUUUAAAUAUACUGCCCAUUUUCAUUUAGCUAUUAUAGUUCAAAACUUUGGAAGCAUGUUGCCAUUCCAAAUGCACAGAACAAACAACAUUGGUUCUCAGUCUUUUUCUGGAUUAAAUUAGCAUAGCUAUUUUUAUUUAACACAUAAGCACAUAUUCAAAAUCAGAAAUGGAAGGACACCUAGCAACCUACCCAGCAAGUAGGUUCCCACUCUCAGUCACACCUUGGAGAAGAUGUUCUCUCUAUUACAGAAGUAACACAACCUCUAAAGACUAAAAUUAGUAUCUGUGAAUAUUUACAGUCUUGACCAUUUCAUCACUCAAAAACCUAACAAUACAAUUUAUACUGCAGUCAUUGUUAACUCCAUUGUUAGAAACCUGUAACCUAAAACAAGCCAAUGUCCAGACUUAUAAAAAAAAAAACCAACAAAACAAAACAAACAUUUUAAAUGCCUGAAUUAAUACUAUUGUGUCUUCAUUUCAAAAGCUUACUUAAAUUUUGUCAUAUCGAUAAAAUACCCACUCUAUAUACACACGCUGAUUUUGCAAUCUUCUACAUGGUGUAACAGCCUUCUACAUUAAGACAGGAAUUUUGGAAUAAAAAGAGAGCACGAUUUUACAGUCCGAAGACAAGGUUUUCAGUAGAGACAAGCAAAAUAAAUUCUAGAGCUAUAAAUCACUCUUUGGCUAUAUCUUUUUAUAACAAUGCUUGCAUUUGUACACAGUAAAAACCAAAUUACAUACAGAUAAAUUGGCAAAGAUGUCCAUUAAUACACAGUGGAAGAGCACUAUCUGCAUUAGUACCAGGAAGUGCACUUGCAGUAUAUAUUCCCAAGGACCUGCAUGAGCUGUACAGCCCACACUGAGAUGCAUACUCCUACAGCUACAAUGCUGUUGGCACUCAAGCUUUACAGAGUAAAACCAGCUGGGAGAAGCCUACUCAUAACUCAUUCUGCAAUAUCUGAUAAAGUUCUACACAACUGUUGGUAUCUACCUCAGCAGAGCUCUUACAAAACAAAAUGCCUCUUUCACCACAAAAUUUGUUGAAAAUCAAGGUCAGCCUGGCAAAAAUAUGCAUUCAUUUAUCUUUUGAAGAUGACCU